UCCUUCUCAGGAUUGCACCUGGAGAGUUUGCAGUCCUCUACCAGCCUCAGCGAUGGGAGGGAGAGUCAAGCAGAGACAUAGCCAUUCCAUUCCUAGCUUGGGCAGUGACUAGUGAAUGGAAGACAAUCUGCUACAAGU